rnacentral:lncRNA from 1 species
AUGUUGAGGAGGCCGGAAGCUAGCAGCAAUAUUCUGAAGUUAAAUUCAACUGCAAUAUAGGAACGUCAGCACAUCUACUGUCAGAAAAUUAGUUGAUUCAACCUGUAAUUGCUGUCAUGCAGAUUUAGUUUAUUAGCAUCUAAUAAGUAUCGGAUGUGACUUGACAGAAAAGUGAUUACAUCGGAUACAAAAGCUGAAAAGCAAUUUAACAUGUCAGGCCCUGUUUAGUUCGGGAAAAGAAAAUUUUUAGGUGUCACAUCGGACGUUUGACCGGAUGUCGGAAGGGGUUUUCAGACACGAAUAAAAAAACUAAUUUCAGAACUCGCCGGAAAACCGCGAGACGAAUCUAUUGAGACUAAUUAAGCCGUCAUUAACACAUGUGGGUUACUGUAGCACUUAUGGCUAAUCACGGACUAAUUAUGCCUAAAAGAUUCGUCUCGCGAUUUUCCUCAUAACUGUGCAAUUAGUUUUUCUUUUUAUCUAUAUUUAAUACUUUAUGCAUGUGUCAAAAGAUUCGGUGCGAUGUUUUUGGGAAAAAAUUUUGGAAACUAAACGGGCCCUCAUUAGUCAUUACCUGUUAUUACAGACAAAUCAUGAGUUUAGGGAUCCCAACAGCGUUGUCCAUUGCUGUAGGCCAAGGCGCGGAGAUCAAUAACCACCUGCACACAUACAGUAGCAUAGUUUAAAAGAAUACGGAUCGAUUGCUAGAUUCCACAGCCUCAGCCGCGCCGUUGGACCGAGAAAGGAUCGGUGGCAGUGAGGA